rnacentral:rRNA from 1 species
AGGAAUAUUGGUCAAUGGGCGCAGGCCUGAACCAGCCAAGUAGCGUGAAGGAUGACUGCCCUAUGGGUUGUAAACUUCUUUUAUAAAGGAAUAAAGUCGGGUAUGUAUACCCGUUUGCAUGUACUUUAUGAAUAAGGAUCGGCUAACUCCGUGCCAGCAGCCGCGGUAAUACGGAGGAUCCGAGCGUUAUCCGGAUUUAUUGGGUUUAAAGGGAGCGUAGAUGGAUGUUUAAGUCAGUUGUGAAAGUUUGCGGCUCAACCGUAAAAUUGCAGUUGAUACUGGAUAUCUUGAGUGCAGUUGAGGCAGGCGGAAUUCGUGGUGUAGCGGUGAAAUGCUUAGAUAUCACGAAGAACUCCGAUUGCGAAGGCAGCCUGCUAAGCUGCAACUGACAUUGAGGCUCGAAAGUGUGGGUAUCAAACAGGAUUAGAUACCCUGGUAGUCCACACGGUAAACGAUGAAUACUCGCUGUUUGCGAUAUACUGCAAGCGGCCAAGCGAAAGCGUUAAGUAUUCCACCUGGGGAGUACGCCGGCAACGGUGAAACUCAAAGGAAUUGACGGGGGCCCGCACAAGCGGAGGAACAUGUGGUUUAAUUCGAUGAUACGCGAGGAACCUUACCCGGGCUUAAAUUGCAGAUGAAUUACGGUGAAAGCCGUAAGCCGCAAGGCAUCUGUGAAGGUGCUGCAUGGUUGUCGUCAGCUCGUGCCGUGAGGUGUCGGCUUAAGUGCCAUAACGAGCGCAACCCUUGUUGUCAGUUACUAACAGGUUCCGCUGAGGACUCUGACAAGACUGCCAUCGUAAGAUGUGAGGAAGGUGGGGAUGACGUCAAAUCAGCACGGCCCUUACGUCCGGGGCUACACACGUGUUACAAUGGGGGGUACAGAGGGCCGCUACCACGCGAGUGGAUGCCAAUCCCCAAAACCUCUCUCAGUUCGGACUGGAGUCUGCAACCCGACUCCACGAAGCUGGAUUCGCUAGUAAUCGCGCAUCAGCCACGGCGCGGUGAAUACGUUCCCG